AUUGAACGCUGGCGGCAGGCCUAACACAUGCAAGUCGAACGAGUGGCGGACGGGUGAGUAAUGUAUGGGACACUGCCCGAUGGAGGGGGAUAACUACUGGAAACGGUAGCUACUACCGCACACCAUCGGAUGUGCCCAGAUGGGAUUAGCUAGUAGGUGGGGUAACGGCUCACCUAGGCGCCGAUCCCUCGCUGGUCUGAGAGGAUGACCAGCCACACUGGGACUGAGACACGGUCCAGACUCCUACGGGAGGCAGCAGUGGGGAAUAUUGCACAAUGGGCGCAAGCCUGAUGCAGCCAUGCCGCGUGUAUGAAGAAGGCCUUCGGGUUGUAAAGUACUUUCAGCGAGGAGGCGUUACUCGCAGAAGAAGCACCGGCUAACUCCGUGCCAGCAGCCGCGGUAAUAC
rnacentral:rRNA from 1 species